CUUCCGUAAGGGUGACCUGCGGAAGGAUCAUUACCGAGUGUAGGGUUCCUAGCGAGCCCAACCUCCCACCCGUGUUUACUGUACCUUAGUUGCUUCGGCGGGCCCGCCAUUCAUGGCCGCCGGGGGCUCUCAGCCCCGGGCCCGCGCCCGCCGGAGACACCACGAACUCUGUCUGAUCUAGUGAAGUCUGAGUUGAUUGUAUCGCAAUCAGUUAAAACUUUCAACAAUGGAUCUCUUGGUUCCGGCAUCGAUGAAGAACGCAGCGAAAUGCGAUAACUAGUGUGAAUUGCAGAAUUCCGUGAAUCAUCGAGUCUUUGAACGCACAUUGCGCCCCCUGGUAUUCCGGGGGGCAUGCCUGUCCGAGCGUCAUUGCUGCCCAUCAAGCACGGCUUGUGUGUUGGGUCGUCGUCCCCUCUCCGGGGGGGACGGGCCCCAAAGGCAGCGGCGGCACCGCGUCCGAUCCUCGAGCGUAUGGGGCUUUGUCACCCGCUCUGUAGGCCCGGCCGGCGCUUGCCGAACGCAAAUCAAUCUUUUCCAGGUUGACCUCGGAUCAGGUAGGGAUACCCGCUGAACUUAAGCAUAUCAAUAAGCGGAGGAA
rnacentral:rRNA from 1 species